AUGCCUCGAUGCGCCCUUCUGUCAGGAGGAGAUUUGGGAGGCAGUCAAGCGGAUGCCGGCGCGCAAAGCGCCCGGGCCGGACGGCUUCACCGAGGAGUUCCUGCGCGCUUGCUGGAGCAUCAUCCGGCAGGAUGUCUGGGACGUGUUCGAGCUGCUCUACGCUCUACGAGGGCGCGGGUUCAGCAAGCUCAACCAAGCGCUGUUGACCCUGCUGCCCAAACGCGCGGAUGCCCACAAGCUCGGCGACUAUCGACCGAUAUGCCUCAUCCACAUCGUGGCCAAGAUCUUCGCGAAGGUCCUAUCCUUGCGCCUUGCUCCCAAGCUCGACACCCUUGUCAGCCGCAACCAAAACGCGUUCAUCACCGGGCGGAGUCUCCACGACAACUUCAUUCUCGUCCGGCAAUCCCUCAGGACGCUGCAUCAACUGGGCGCACCGAAGAUCAUGCUCAAGCUCGAUCUCACGCGUGCCUUCGACUCCAUCUCCUGGCCCUUCCUCUUCGAGGUUCUGCGCCAGUAUGGAUUUGGGGACAGAUUCAGAGAGUGGCUGGCCAUUUUGCUGUCCUCGGUGAGCACCCGCGUCAUGCUCAAUGGUGUCCCCAGCCCGCCAAUCUGGCAUCGCCGCGGUCUGAGACAGGGCGAUUCCACCUCCCCGCAACUCUUCGUGCUCGCAGUGGACACACUUGGGAGGCUGAUGCGUCGCGCCCUCCAGACAGGCAUCCUCCAGCAGCUGCACCCCCGGCGCGCCAUCCCGACAAUCUCUCUCUACGCUGA
rnacentral:rRNA from 1 species